GAAUUCGGCUUCGGUAAUUCCAGCUCCAAUAGCGUAUAUUAAAGUUGUUGCAGUUAAAAAGCUCGUAGUUGAAUUUCUGAUAGAAGGGAGCGGUUCCGCAUUCUUGCGGAUACUGGCUCGUCUUCCGUCAUCCUUGGGCUUAGUCUCGCUGAUAUUAACUUAUCGGCGUGUACGAUGCCCAUCGUUUACUGUGAGCAAAUUAGAGUGUUCAAAGCAGGCAUUUUGCCAUUGAAUAUAUUAGCAUGGAAUAAUAAGAUAGGAUUUCACGAUUUUAUUUUGUUGGUUUGCGUUGUGAAAUAAUGAUUAAGAGGGACAGUUGUGGGUAUUCGUAUUCAGAUGUCAGAGGUGAAAUUCUUAGAUUAUCGGAAGACGAACGACUGCGAAAGCAUUUACCAAGGAUGUUUUCAUUAAUCAAGAACGAAAGUAUGGGGAUCGAAGAUGAUUAGAUACCAUCGUAGUCUAUACCAUAAACUAUGCCGACUCAGGAUCGGCGGGUCAAUUUUUUUUGCUCGUCGGCACUGUAUGAGAAAUCAAAGUCUUUGGGUUCCGGGGGGAGUAUGGUCGCAAGGCUGGAACUUAAAGAAAUUGACGGAAGGGCACCACCAGGAGUGGAACCUGCGGCUUAAUUUGACUCAACACGGGGAAACUUAUCAGGUCCAGACAUAAUGAGGAUUGACAGAUUGAGAGCUCUUUCUUGAUUUUAUGGGUGGUGGUGCAUGGCCGUUCUUAGUUGGUGGAGUGAUUUGUCUGGUUAAUUCCGUUAACGAACGAGACCCCAGCCUGCUAAAUAAUCACGCGAAUGAUUCUUCAUUGGCGAUGGUUUCUUAGAGGGACAUGUUCGAACAACGAACAGGAGGAUUGGGGCAAUAACAGGUCUGUGAUGCCCUUAGAUGUUCUGAACCGCACGCGUGUUACACUGAUGCAUUCAACGAGCUAUUAACCUUGGCCGAGAGGCCUGGGAAAUCUUGGAACGUGCAUCGUGAUAGGGAUUGAUUAUUGCAAUUUUUAAUCAUGAACGAGGAAUUCCUAGUAAACGCAGAUCAUCAAUCUGCAUUGAUUACGUCCCUGCCCUUUGUACACACCGCCCGUCGCACCUACCGAUUGAGUGACUCGAUGAAGGCUCGGGAUUGUGGUUAUUGCUUUCAUUAGGAAUUGCUGCGAGAACUUGUCUGAAUCUCGCCACUUAGAGGAAGGUGAAGUCGUAACAAGGUAAGCCGAAUUC
rnacentral:rRNA from 1 species